CUCGUGACCCGGAUCUGUCAGCCUAUCUGUGACUGACCUGAGCUCGUGCCUGGAGCAUGUGUGAUUCUGAUUGGAUGAGGUGGUGUGGAGCGAGAUGAGGUCAGUUGCUGCGAAUAUAGGAGAAUGGCGCUUGCUGCAAGAAGGACAGGGGGAAGAAGCUGCUGGGGGAGAGAGCUGGAAGUGAAAAAGCUGCUGCGUGAACCCGCCUUGGUGUCCGUGUUGUUCUUGUCUCUGCGGAUCGGAGACUGUGGCAGUUCAGCCUUUGUGGCAAGCCUCUUUUCUCCUAUUCCCUGAGCAGGCUCGUCAGCUGUCUUUAUUUAGUUUUUUGAGCUGCAGCUAGAGGCAGGAUGUAAAGAAGCAUGAAGAAGGUUUGAGGCUUUCAUCGCAAUGUUCCAUUACCCCAGGGAGACAGCCAAAUUGAAGGAGACAGAGUGUUUUCUCUCCUCUGAAAGCGGGGGCUCUUCAGAAUUUCAUUUUGCAAACAUCCAUGAGAGAGAGCAAACAGUGCAUCCCUGCAGCUCACCAGCUGCCUUCUGCCUGGACACGCCCCCUAGAGUCCACGCAGGAACCCAUGACCAGAUUCGUCAUCAAGGCCAACUCCGGACUCUGUGAGAUAUUCGCAUAUGGAGGUUGCAGAGAGAAGGAAGACCACUUUUGGGGAAAAUGGGUUUAGGGGAGCAGAACACAGACUAAGGCUGGGAGUGGCUGAAGGGGAAGGUCUGGGAAGAGAGAUGGAGUCUAACCAGAUACACAGUACACACCUGCAUGCUGUCACUCAGGUAUCAAGUGAAGCUCUCCAGUCUGGGAUGAGGAAGUGGUCUUGUGACCUGUGAAGCUAUACACUGCGACAGCCAGGCAGGAGGCGAGCCCCAGACAUGAUCACAGCUAUCUUCCUGACAUCAUCAGAGCCAUCACCCACUCCUUCCUUACUGAUGGGAACAGAGACCCUGCACAGGGGAUCUGCCAUGCUACCAAGUCUUUAUGAUCUAGUUCUGGAUUCUCCCAUGUCAGCUCCAAGGGCCACAGUUGCUCAUUUCUGGGAUGGUCUAGGUCCUAGACUGAUCUGCCAGGCAUACAGGGUCCAGGCUAAGAGCAUGAUAGUCACACAUUCCUUUCUCUUGUGGAGGCCUUGACAUCUGUGCUGACAUAGAUGCAGAAGUACAAGGCCCUAGGCCUGUGCUGUGGCUGUCUUCUGCAAGGUCCAGCCCUUUUCCAUCUCCUUCUCAAACCAUCCUUCAAUCCAGACCCCAUUUUCUACUUUUUCCAGGUGAUCACUCCAGAGUUCACUUGGUUCACGUUGUCUUAUCCAUGUAUUCAACACACCAUGGGAAUAAGAACCAUAUGCUGCAGGUGUGUGUGUGUCCCCAUACAUGUGAGUGUACAUGCACUCCUCAUUGGUGUGUACAGCCCUCCUCCAUGCAGGUGCAAGUGGAUACCAGACACUGAAAUCAGGAUGUUUUUUUUUAAAAUCACCUCUCCACAUUAUCUUUUUAGACAGUCCCUCACUGUCCUAGUUAGCUUUGUAAACUUGACACAGUCUAGAGUCAUCUGGGAAGGGAUUCUCAAUUGCAGGAUUGCCCAGAUCAGAUUGCUCUGUGGGUAUACCUACAGAGGAUUGUCUUAUUAGUUGAUGGCAGAGAGCCCGGUCCACUGCGGGCAGUACUGUCCUUAGGCGGAUGGUCGUGGGGUAUAUAAUAAAGCUAGCUGAACAUGAGCCUUUGAGCAACUUAGCAAGUUUGUUCCUUCAUGGUUUCUGCUUCAAGCACCUUCCCUAAACUCCUUCAAUGAUUGGCUGUAAUCUGGAAGUGAAAGCCAAAUAAAUGCUUUCCUUCCUUCAGUGGCUUUGGUCGGAGUGCUUUCAUCACAGCAACAGGAAAGAGACUGGAGCCCUCACUGACCCGGAAGAUCACUAAUUAGGCUAGCUAGGUUGCAGGCCAGCACGCCCCAGGGAUCUGUCUGCUGCUGACUCCUGGUCCUGGGCUCUAGGCACACACCCCACACAAUGCUUUUACAUGGGUGCUGAGAGUCCAAACCUGAGUUCUGAUGCCUGUACAGUAAGCACUUUAUCCAGAGUCAUCUCCUUAGUUCCUGGGUGGCUCUUUUCUUUUUAAAAUCAUUUUCCCCUAGCAUUGUCUUAAAUGCACAUGCUCUUUUAUUUUUGUGAGCGCACACACACAAGCAUGCACACACUCUCUCUCACACUCAUACACAUGCUGUAAAUGCAUGCAUAAGCACCUAUUUUCUGCUCAGCGCUAGCUGCAGUGUUGGGGUUGCAGCCAGAAUGUUAGCCCCAGGUCUCAUCCUCACCUGUGUCCUCCAUCUGUGCCCUUCCCAUGUUGACAAAGGUGGAGUUUCUGGCAUCCAGUUCUGAGCAUCAGUGAUGUCCAGUGUUGGUCUAGGUGCCUCUCUGAGACAGACGGUGGCACUUCCCCCUUUCCUACCUGCAGACUGAGCUCACGCAGGCCUGGAACUCACCAUGAAGCAGAGACUCCUUUUGAACUUCGGAUCUUCCUCUCUCCACUGCCCAAGUGCCGCCACUACCUCAUGAUUCCUGAUUCCUGGCUUGGACUCUGGUUUCAUCCCAGUGUUUGUUUUUUUAAAAGAGGUAGAGUCUCUGGCUGGAGACAUGGCUUAGUGGUUAAGAGCACUGACUGCUCUUCCAGAGGCCCUGAGUUCAAUUCCCAGCAACUACACAGUGGCUCACAACCAUCUGUAAUAGGAUCAGAUGCCCUCUUCUGAAGACAUUUACAGUGUACUCAUAUACAUAAAGUCAAUAAAAUCUUAAACGAG
rnacentral:lncRNA from 1 species